GGUAAAGUCAACUAAAGGUUAGUUCCCAGACUCAUUAUCUGGCAAUGUCGGUUCGAGUCCUACCUUUGCCU
rnacentral:tRNA from 1 species